UUAAAUCAAAUAAAAAUAAGCACAUAUUUCUAAACAUAAAAGAAAAAACAAAUACAAUAAAAAAGAAGAAGAAAAAAAGUAGCAGAAUGAACAGUGCCCGCUACAUGAAGCACGAGUGUUCAGUCCCUUUAUAUUUUACAGUAGCGUGAAGUGCGCUGCUGGAGAUGAUUCCACUGCUCAAAUAGCGGCAGCUGCUAUUCUACCGCUGCCUUUGGAGGUGCUUUUAACCUUAUAUUUCUAGGCUAAUCAAUCCUCAAAAGUAUAUACUCCAAAGAUAUGGUUUUCAAUCCAAUCCUUACAUAAUUAAGAAGAGGAAUUUCUUAAACAUAUAUUCAAGUCUAGUAGAAUAUAUAGGAAUUGGAAAUCAACAAUUGUAGUGCAACGUCACUUAAUUCAGUUCAAGAACAUGUAUUAGCUAGAGUUUAGAGUUGGGUAAAGAUGAGGCCCAACCAUUGCAUUGCUGUUGGAUUAGUUUAGAGUUUAGAGAUAAAAUAAUGCAUUGUAUCACUAGCUAGCCUCAGUAGUAAUUAAGACGCAUCAUGAGGAAAUGGAAAAUCAUUAUCAAUUCUCUUUAAUUCAACUUCACACAUACUAUAUUAUAUGAAAGUAUGGAGCAGUUAUUUACCUAAGUUUGAGAUUGGACAUAUAAGCAGCAGCAGAAGAAACUUAGCCAGGACUGGAUAUGGAGUGUAGCCAUGGCAAUGCAGCUACAAAUAACUAAAGUUAUACUCCAUACCCAUGCCUGGAUAAGUUUUUCCGCCGGUUAUCCGACGUCGUUGUGUCGAAUGCAAGAGCUUAUUUAGAGCUCAAAUAUUCCAAAAUACUAAUUGAAGAACAUUGUGAAAUGGUGUAGAGGCAAGUAACAAGAGAUCCU
rnacentral:lncRNA from 1 species